rnacentral:rRNA from 1 species
CAGCCGCCGCGGUAAUACGUAGGUCCCGAGCGUUGUCCGGAUUUAUUGGGCGUAAAGCGAGCGCAGGCGGUUAGAUAAGUCUGAAGUUAAAGGCUGUGGCUUAACCAUAGUACGCCUUGGAAACUGUUUAACUUGAGUGCAAGAGGGGAGAGUGGAAUUCCAUGUGUAGCGGUGAAAUGCGUAGAUAUAUGGAGGAACACCGGUGGCGAAGGCGACUCUCUGGUCCGUAACUGACGCUGAGGAGUGAAAGCGUGGGGAGCGAACAGGAUUAGAUACCCCCGUAGUCCCUGUCUCUUAUACA